rnacentral:rRNA from 1 species
CACUCCUGCGGGAGGCAGCAGUAGGGAAUCUUCCACAAUGGGUGCAAACCUGAUGGAGCAAUGCCGCGUGAGUGAAGAAGGUCUUCGGAUCGUAAAGCUCUGUUGUUAGAGAAGAACACGUGCUAGGUAACUACUAGCGCCUUGACGGUAUCUAACCAGAAAGUCACGGCUAACUACGUGCCAGCAGCCGCGGUAAUACGUAGGUGACAAGCGUUGUCCGGAUUUAUUGGGCGUAAAGGGAGCGCAGGCGGUCUGUUUAGUCUAAUGUGAAAGCCCACGGCUUAACCGUGGAACGGCAUUGGAAACUGACAGACUUGAAUGUAGAAGAGGAAAAUGGAAUUCCAAGUGUAGCGGUGGAAUGCGUAGAUAUUUGGAGGAACACCAGUGGCGAAGGCGAUUUUCUGGUCUAACAUUGACGCUGAGGCUCGAAAGCGUGGGGAGCGAACAGGAUUAGAAACCCUGGUAGUCCCA